rnacentral:rRNA from 1 species
GGACGGGUGAGUAACGCGUAGGCAUCUAUCCUUGGGUGGGGGACAACCGUGGGAAACUACGGCUAAUACCGCAUGACGACUGAGGUCCAAAGCCCGCAAGGGCGCCUGGGGCGGAGCCUGCGUCCGAUUAGCUUGUUGGUGGGGUAAAGGCCUACCAAGGCGAUGAUCGGUAGCUGGUCUGAGAGGAUGAUCAGCCACACUGGGACUGAGACACGGCCCAGACUCCUACGGGAGGCAGCAGUGGGGAAUAUUGGACAAUGGGCGCAAGCCUGAUCCAGCAAUGCCGCGUGGGUGAAGAAGGUCUUCGGAUUGUAAAGCCCUUUCGGCGGGGACGAUGAUGACGGUACCCGCAGAAGAAGCCCCGGCUAACUUCGUGCCAGCAGCCGCGGUAAUACGAAGGGGGCUAGCGUUGCUCGGAAUGACUGGGCGUAAAGGGCGCGUAGGCGGCUGUUACAGUCAGGCGUGAAAUUCCUGGGCUCAACCUGGGGACUGCGUUUGAUACGUGAUGGCUUGAGUUCGGAAGAGGGUCGUGGAAUUCCCAGUGUAGAGGUGAAAUUCGUAGAUAUUGGGAAGAACACCG